rfam:Ictidomys tridecemlineatus contig026600, whole genome shotgun sequence.
AUCCUUUUCAGUUCAUAAACAUGAUGAUGGGGCAUCCAUGCUGUUGUGUGAGAUGUGCCUCCCUCUAAACCCAUAUUAUGAUAGUGGGCCCAUUACCUGUUUAACA